rnacentral:rRNA from 1 species
UUUAUGGAGAGUUUGAUCCUGGCUCAGGAUGAACGCUGGCGGCGUGCCUAAUACAUGCAAGUCGAGCGAACAGAUAAGGAGCUUGCUCCUUUGACGUUAGCGGCGGACGGGUGAGUAACACGUGGGUAACCUACCUAUAAGACUGGAAUAACUCCGGGAAACCGGGGCUAAUGCCGGAUAACAUGUUGAACCGCAUGGUUCUACAGUGAAAGAC